rnacentral:rRNA from 1 species
CCUACGGGAGGCAGCAGUAGGGAAUCUUUCACAAUGGGCGAAAGCCUGAUGGAGCAACGCCGCGUGCAGGAUGACGGCCUUCGGGUUGUAAACUGCUUUUAUAAGCGAGAAAUAUGAUGGUAACUUAUGAAUAAGGAUCGGGUAACUACGUGCCAGCAGCCGCGGUCAUACGUAGGCUCCGAGAGUUAUCCGGCGUGACUGGGUGUAAGAGGUUUCGUAGGUGGCAUAUUAAGUAGCUAGGGAAGUCUGGUGGCUCAACCAUUACAACAAUAGCUAAACUGUUAAGCUCGAGACCGUUAGGGGUAACUGGAAUUUCUAGUGUAGGAGUGAAAUCCGUAGAGAUUAGAAGGAACACCAAUAGCGUAGGCAGGUUGCUGGGACGGUUCUGACACUAAGGCACGAAAGCGUAGGGAGCAAACGGGAUUAGAUACCCCUGUAGUC